CUUACACAACUAUCUCCGCGUUUAACAAUCUUGGAGGUUGAUGGAUGUGAGAAUUUAAACUAUGUAUUUCCGUCUUCUGUAGUUGAAAGUCUGGCACAACUCAAAAGGCUAGAGAUAUGCAAUUGCAAGUCAGUGGAAGAAAUAAUAGCUCCACAAAGAUUAGGAGAAGAAACAGUGAUCAAGAUUCUAUUUCCAAAACUAG
rnacentral:misc_RNA from 1 species